UGCUAUUUGAUUUAAAGACCCGGAUCAAAUGGCUUAAAUCAAUCAAUCUAUAUUCGUUAUGUAUUUAUUUACCAAUAUAUUUGCAAACGCUAUCCAACACCUGACAAAUAAAAGCCGAAAGCUUUAGUUUCCAGACUUGGUACUACAAAACCAUAGAUUGUCUUUAAUGGCUUGUAAAUGUACCUAAGUAGUCUCAUCCUCACAAUCUUCCUAUUGAUAAUGUAUCAUUAGAAGAAUAUGUUAGAAAAAGUCUAUCAUAAAGAGGACAACACUUUUUUAUGUCAUAAUUCUUCAAAUACAAAUUGUUGUAUGAAGAAAUAAGAGUUGCUUUGAACAACCCUUAGUCAAUGCAAACACUUAGUGCUUGUUUCUUUGUUACAUGAACAAGGAACUUUAGAAGUAAGCACAAGGGCAUGGACACUUUAUGUGCCAUGAUUCUUCACUUACAAAUUGUUGUAUGAAGAAAUGAGAGUUGCCUUGUACAACUCUUGAAAGUUUGUAAUUAUGUUUAUAACACAAUGGUUGGUUGACAAAAAUAGUCCAUCAACAUGGACUUAUGAUGAUUUUGAAUCAUUGAGUGUUGAAGUGUUAAACCACUUAACGAGAUGGAAACUAGGCAAGGACUUCACCUUUAUGUCCCUAUCCUAAUGGUUCACUAAGUUUAUUGUAAACUAUGUAGUGAACAAUAACUGCACUCUCUCCAAAUUAUUUGAUGUGUAUACCACAAUUGAAAUAAGUUUCAAGAGAGAUAGUGGGAGUUUAGGGACCAUGACUAUUGUAGUCAAAGGAGAAGUCAAAUGAAGAAGAUAAAAUUAACUCCAAGGGAACAAACUUUCUUUAUGAAAGGAUGGACAUUGGAAGGGGUAUUUGCAAGAAAUGUCUUGCAAGUGCCAAGAACACACCUUUUGAAGGUGUUGUAAAUUGUUCUUGAAAAGUUCAAAACAGUUGGUUCUUCUACUUGAAUGCUUGAUUCCGUAUUAGUAACUAUGUAUUACAAUCGUUGUAAAAGUGUGACUAAUAAGAAGUAGAAGAUAUAUGAGAGAAAAAAAAGGUGCUUCACAUUCGGAACGUGAAUAAAAUAUAGAUCUCUGCGAAAGCAGAUAGUACUUACUUCCUCAUAUGAACUACCAAAGAAAUUGGAAAAACCAAAGAUAGUCUUUACAUUCCAAUUUUAAGGAACUUAAUUCCAUCACUAUAGUAGAGAUGGAUGAAUGUUUUGUUUGACAAAACAUUGUUCUUUAUUAAUCAAUGAUUGGAUUAUAGUAAUCUAAUUGAUUGUCUCUAUAGUAGAGAUGAUAUGGUAAUGUUAACUGUUUAGAAUAUAAUGAUGCUUAAAACCCAAAAGGUUGCAAGGUAGUGACUAAUCCCAACUGAGUUGUGAUACCUCUAAAACAUAAAUUACGAGUUGGUCAUAGAUGGAUGCUUUGGAUCGUUAGAUCCGGAUCCAAUACCUUCUUGUUAAAAUUGUAUAGACGCGAAAUGUUCGAAUCUUUAUUCUUUUGGAAAGAAUAAAGAAUCACAAAGAUGUUGAGGUUAAUUCACUUAGAUGUUAGUGGCACUUGUCCACAACAUAAUACUACUCAUGUUGUAUGACAUUCACCGAAGAUCACCCUCGGUUGGACUAUAGUUUAUUUUAAAUAAACACAAGUCCGAAUACUUUGCAAAAGGUUUCAAAGAAUUCAAGAAAUGUAAGUUGAUGAGUAAGACGUCUAAAGUAUUUACAUCCUUAGAUUUGAUCAAAGGAAUGGUAACACUUUAGAAUAGUUUUCUUGAAAGAUAUCAAGGAAAGAAGCAUCAUAAGAUAAUGAAUUUCUCCAUUAGGAGAAGAACGAACUCGAAUAAGAUUUAGUUCAUUGGAUGUUAUCUAUUACCCAUAUAUAUGAUAUAUAUAUACUUCUAAAACAAUAUGAUUGUCAAUUAGAAGAUUUUCCAAAAUUUUCAUAACUCCAUAAGAUGUAGUUGGAAAGAAAGACAAAUCUUAAGCAUGUUAAGAUUUGGGGUUGUGUGCUAAUAAGCAAUAUUUGUUUGAUAACAAUCUUGUGGGAUAUCCUUAAAUUAACUUUUGGAUAUCACUUCUAUAAACCAACUAACAAAUGUUGUUUUGUUGGGUAGUUCAUUGUAAUCCUACAAUGUGAUUUGCCUAAGAGCAAAUGAACGAGAGAUAGAACUCAAAGAAUGGGUUCUUUGAGAGACAAGAUAAUAAUCAACAAAUAUAACAACCUAGUUCCUAUACCAAAAGCUCCAAGGUAGUCAAGAAGGAUUUAUAAACCGUCUCAGUUGAAUGGUUUGAACUUUAUGACUAUGUCAUAGAGUUGCACCUCUUAAUUCGAAAGAAAUAAGAAUGAAAAAUCCUUAUGACUACAUUGAGUGUAUAUACGAUAUAUACUCAAGGAAAUGGUAAAGUACCAUUUGACCCGAAAAUAAUGAAACCUUCAUAAGCUAAUUGGUAGCUUAAGGUAACUACAAUCAAAAGAAUGGUUGACUUUGAAGAAACCAUCUUUGACGUAGUCUUGGUUUCAAUUAAUUCGAAGAUAGCUAGCUACAACUAAAUGGUGAUUCAAUGUUUGAACAUAAUAUGGGUUUCCGAAACCAUUAUUAAGAUAGUCUUAAUAAUAUAUGUCUAAAACUAUGAAUCACAAGACAUGUAAUUUGUAGAGAUCUAUCCAUCAUGAAUCUAAGCAAGCUAGUGGGAGCUAUGAGCAUCUUAUGAGAAAA
rnacentral:lncRNA from 1 species